UACGGGGGGGGCAAGCGUUGUUCGGAAUUACUGGGCGUAAAGGGUUCGUAGGUGGCUCGCUAAGUCAAACGUGAAAUCCCUCGGCUUAACCGGGGAACUGCGCUUGAUACUGGAUGGCUUGAGAUUGGGAGAGGGAUGCGGAAUUCCAGGUGUAGCGGUGAAAUGCGUAGAUAUCUGGAGGAACACCGGUGGCGAAGGCGGCAUCCUGGACCAACACUGACGCUGAGGAGCGAAAGCCAGGGGAGCAAACGGG
rnacentral:rRNA from 1 species